GCUGAAGAUAGUUGACCAAGCAAGAUAUAUUUUUAUUUUGCUAAAAUAACUUGAAACCAUGGUAUGGAAAAUAGAUUGGGGCAACACUCAUGGCAGAUCUUCCAGAUCCCUCAUUGGCUUCCAGGGACGUUCUUCUUCUUUUGAAGCACCCGUGCCACUCAAAACAUUGCAUAUGCCUCGUCGCCAUAAGCUUGCCAAAGCAUGCUCAAUGUCUCUGUAGAAGACUUCACAAGUUUAAAGCAAAAUUUCAUGUUGGCUCUUCGUUCCAGCUUCCUGUUCAUCACAAAAAUUGCAGACUACAGCAUAUACAUGACCACAAAAGCACAAAUUUCACAACUUGCAAUAUAAGCACAGCAAGGUCACUCAGCACACUGCCGAAUGAAGAUCACUGCUAGCUUCACUGCACACACAACCAUAUGCUGCCAUCUGUUGGCACGCCACAGAACUAGUCUGGGAACUUUUUGGUACCACCUUGAAAGAUUUUAGCCAAUUACAUCACCUCCAAAGUUUCAGUUUGGUCGCCAUUUUAUUGGUCUCUAUUUAUUAAAAUGGUUAAGGUCAUCUAGUGAGUUAUGUCCCUUUAGUGAUAAAUGCCUGAAAGUAUUUACACCAUGACACAUACAAAACCACACACACAUACAUGCUUACAUAAUAGGCUUCCAUACAGUUUCUGUCAAUCAAAUUUCCUUAUAAGGCAUUGGUGACUCUAAGGCUCCCAUUGCCUUAUAAGAUAUUUGCUCAACCUGUCACAUGGUGGGACUGAACUUGGAAUGUCAUUGUGAAAUGAACUCCUUAAACACACAGCCAUAGUUUCCAUUCUGACUUGCUCAUGAUUUUGUGUGGAACCAAAAUGGUUUCUAAACAAAUUUGUGCAGGGGAAGUUGUUAAGACUGCUCUUAAUGGAUUUAGUCCGUCAGACUUGUUUCUUAAAGCAGUUCAACUUCCUGAAGUACAUCAUUUAAUUUUAUUAAAAGCAAUUGUCUGACCAGGUUCCAAGCCCAACAACCGAAAAUUGGUGAGCCUGGUCUAUUGUGUUCAAACUGGUUCUGAAGUACCAAGGCCAAUAUUAGAAUAUUCAUUGACAGCCAUGGAUAUCCUAAAACCUAUAGAUGCAUUGAAGUAAUUAGAACAUUUGUCAUGAAGAGUAUGUGAAGGCGUGUGAUUGUAAGGUCACGAGUGUCAUUGCUGGUGACACAUUGUGUCCUUGAGGAAGGGCACUUUAUUCCAAGUUGCUCCAGUCCACUCAGCUAACAAAACUGAAUUGUACUUGUAAUUCAAAGAACCAACCUCGACAUUCUGUGUCAUGCUGAAUCUUCCUGAGAACUAUGUUAAGGUUAUGCGUGUCUGUGGAGUUCUCAGCCACUUGCAUGUUAGUUUCAUGAGCAGGCUGUUCUGUUGAUUGGAUCAACUGGAAUACUCAUUGUUGUAACUGACAGUUUAUAAACAGUAUACAGAAGACAAAAGUUCUUUGUUUUGUGUGUAUAGACAAUGUUUGUGUGUUGUGAAAUCAAAUGAGGCAAAGUUGACCAGGCAGCCUGCAUCAUUGAUCUUGUUAUGCACUGGAAUAUUUGCAGACUAAAAGAAUGGCCAUACAGUACUCAUGUAGUCUAUUAUGUUGGAAUACCUGAUCAAUCACUAAAUCAAAUGAUCUUGCAGAAGAUGUGGCCUUCAACAUAUUCUCUUCUUACAAUGUCUCCUGAAACAGCCAAUUCUUAUAUGCCAAACUAGCACAAAAGUUCAACUCUAUGGACUUGUGUCCUGCUAAAAGAACCCUUCGUUGUUUUUAUGUUCCUGACAAUUGCUUACCUGAAACAAAUUAAACAUCUUCAAACCAGCAUGGCAUCAUUUUCCACAUCACUGAGUCCUGAUGAGUCCUUUUAUUCUUCCUCAAACUCUUUUAAUGAACAAAAACAAGGAAGAAUUCCAGAAAAGUUCCAAAGUGGUUAGCAUUAGAAAUAGCAAAACUCAGCAAGUAACCUUCAUCAUCAUUUAAUGUCCAUUUUCCAUGCUAGCAUAGGUUGGACAGUUUCACAGGAGGUGGCCAGCUGAAGAGUUGCCUAGGCUCCAUUGUCCAUUUUGGAAUGGCUUCUACAGCUGGAUGUCCUUUCUAAAGCCAACCACUUUACAGAAUAGACUGGGUGCUUUUUACAUGGCACCAGUGGAGUUAUCAGUUGAGACAUUACGAAGUGAUUAGUAAUUAUGUUUAUGAGAUGCUAAUGAAAUGUCUAUUUGUUAGCUAAUAAUUUAAGGUAUUUUACACUUGAAUAUGAUUAGUAACUUUCUCCAGGUGAUAUCUUUGUUUAGCCUAGGGCUGUGAGCUACCAGAAUCAUUGGCAUACCAAGCAAAAUGCUUAACAGCAUUUCAUCUAUCUUUAAGUUCUGAAUUCAAAUACUGCGAAGGUUGAUGGAAUCAAUAAAAGUACCAGCUGAGCACUAUGGUUGAUGUAAUCGAUUUGGCUCUUCCCUCGAAAUAACUGACCUUGUGCCAAAAUUUGAAAGUAAUGUCUUUGUUUAGCCUAUGGCUUUACAAGAGGCCACACCAAUAUCAUAAAUGCCAUACUUUUUUUUCUUUUUCAAUUGGUUUAAAGACUAUUCAACCAGGUUUAUCACUUGCAGUGUUUAAAAAUUUAAUUUAAAAUUAUAAAUAAAGAAAUUAAAUUGCUGAAAGUCUGCCCAACCAUCCACAGAUCUAUUUAGAGUUUGUUAGACAAGAUUAUUGAGUAUCAUGUCUUGUCUUUACGCAUUAGCAAGUCAACCAAGCUUGGAAACAGUUGGAUUUGUAUUACCAUCCAUCGUUUAAAUAAAACAACCACCCACACAAGCUAUGACGUUAGAGCAAUCAUGUUAAAAAUGUUUCUAAAAGAAACUGAGAAACUAAAUAAACAGUGAUGUAAAACCUGAGAUGUGUUUUGAAAACACAUCUAAGGGAACUAGUUCCUUGUUUUGGUUUGAAAUGGCAAACAACUGUUUCAUUAUCUUUAUCUGUUACAAAGAACAAAGUCCUCUCCAAGAAAGAAAUACUGACAAGGAAUACAUAGAACUCAUAAGAAAUAUAACAAGGAAAGAAAAUACAAAAUUUUAGACAUAGUUCUCUCAGAGAAUGCUUUUAUUUUCAUCUUCAUUUUAUUUUUUUCUUUGUUGUUGUAAUGUCAGAUUUACCAAAAAUAUUCUUGGCAGCAGUAUUUUUUUUUUUUUUUUUUUUUUUUUUUUUUUUUUUUUUUUUUUUUUUUGCACAAGCAGAGCAGAGAAUUGAAAUAAUGGAUAAAACAGCAGACAGUAGUGGAAGUUGUACAAAGAGAGAGGCAAAAUAACAAAAGGACAGUUUCCAAAUCAAUAAGAACAUUUGAGUAACAAUAUAUCAGUUGGUGUAGUGUCUGGUUGCAGAGAAAAAUAUAGGGGUGGGGGUGGGGGUGAGGCAAGACAAAGUAUGCAAGGCAACAACUAAAGUUCCCACUGAACAGCAAAAAGAUGGGUUUUGGUUUCCAGGCAAAAGACAUCAGCAAACUAAGUUUUGAUGAAAACAUUUCAAGAAUUAAAAAAGAAAAA